GCGGGGCCGCGGCCGGGAAACGCCUCCAAGGAAUCCCGAAAAUCGGCGCUGAGGGGGCGAGCUGGUGGCGGGAUAAUAUGAAUGUGUGUCAAGAGGUUGGUGCCAGACUCUUCUCAGUGGUGCCCAGGAGAAGCAACAGCCAUGAACCAAAACACAAGAAGUUCCACCAGAACAUGAGGAAGGAUUCCCUACACUGAGGGUGGCAGAGCAUCAGAACAGGCUGCCCAGGGAGGUCGUGGAGUUUCCCUCUCUGGAGACAUUCCAAACCCACCUGGAUGUGUUCCUGGAUGUGUCACCUGCUCCAGAUGACCCUGCUUUGACAGAUCAUCUCCACCCUAAGGAUUCUGGUGAAAACCUUUAAUUAAAUAACCGGACAGCAGGUCGAGGGAGGAGAUUCUCCUCCUCUGCUUUGCCCUCUGACCCCACCUGCAGUCCUGCAUCCAGUUCUGGGAUCCUCAGCACUGGAAGGACAUGGACCUGUUGGACUCAGUCCAGAGGAGGCCACAAAGAUGCCUCGAGGGCUGGAGCACCUCUGCUAUGGAAACAGGCUAGGAGAGCUAGGAUUGUUGAGCCUGGAGAAGGAAGGGCUCCAGAGACACUUGAAAGGUGUUUGCAAGGUCACCUGUAUGCAGACAGGUAUAUAAGAACUACAUUUAAGGCCAAGAUUGCCUGGGCAGUAGAAACAUCAGGUUUGGGAGCAGAUGUGGCCAAAUUGGCAGCAAUGAGGAAAAGGUGUUUCUGGGUGAGUUAUUUAAUUGGGGGAAAAAUAAAACAAACUAACAAGAUGGGAAAGGAUGAAUCUAUAGUGGCAAAAAGGAUCCAGAAACAAAAGUAACAGUAACUGAGUGGUGUGGGAGGUGCAAUGAGGAGCAGCAGAGCUGUUUCUUAAUGGUGAUUGUGUAGAUACAAAUACCACAAGUGCUCAACUGUAACUCAGUAAUUGUGUGUAACUAAUCAGUGUGCAGGACAAAAUUGUAAAUAAUAGCAGUCUAGUAUUAGAUUUGUUCACAAAUUAACUCUCAUUUAUUAGACCAGUAGUAGCGUGUUGAUCAGUCAGUGAAGAGCCCAGUCUGUUGUGUCAGUCACAUCUCACAUCUGCAGCCAGAAGAGCAGGAGCUGGACCAGGAACAAACUCCUGAAGCUCAUGGUUUGAUCAACAGUUCCAUGUUCUGAAGGGCAUCAGUCGACUGGUGUCCCUUAAGGAUCCAUCCUGGGACCAGUACCAGCCUCUCUGGGCAACCUGUGCCAGUGCAUCAUCACUCUCACAGUCAAGAAUUUCUUCCCAGUAUAAAAUCUAACCCUGCCCUCUGUCAAUUUAAAGCCAUUUCCCCCGGUCCUGUCCCUCCAGGCCCUUGUCCAAAGUCCCUCUCCAGCUCUCUUGGAGCCCCCUUAGCACUGCAAGAGGCUCUAAGGUCCCCUCAGAGCCUUUUCUUCUCCAGGUUGAACAACCCCAAGUGUCUCAGUCUGUCUCCAGAGCAGAGGUGCUCCAAUCUUCUGAGAUAUAUAUUUCUAUACACACACUGACCAUGAAUAUACAGUGUGUAUUCCAAGUAACCCCUGAAAUGAUUCACCUAAUCAGAUCAGUUCAUUAUAGAAAAUUACCAUCUAGAAAUAGUAGGAACACAGUAUCCAAUGAGAGAUCUGUUCCAACUGUGCAAUGCAGAGGUUAUUCCAGUCUCCUCCUUCAGCCCACACCACAAUGACAAACCAGCACAUUCAAACACACGGUGGAGACAGGAAAUCUCUUCCACUCUUCCAAAGGAACAGCCAGUUAUAUGUUCUGCAUGCCAGACACAUUACAAGAUGUAGAGCACAACCUUCUAAAACUGAAAUCUCAGAGCACACCGAAGUCCAACCCAGAUGUUUAGACACCAAGAGCAUUUGCUCCACAGACAACCAAGAGGAUCUGUUUCAUGGAGUUCAUUUAUUGUAAGAAUUUACAGAUUUCUGGAGCUUUACCACUUCUUCACAAGUUAACAAAGCAGUCUUGUUAACACAGACACAGGCAGGUUAAACCACAGGCUCAGAAGAGCUCCUCCUCACCUGUAAGGAAAAUUGAAGCAAAUUAAAACCCUUUCAUUUAUUUAUUCAUGUAUUUAAAACUGUUAAUCUCCUCCAAUCUGAAUAUUUCAACUCAUUAAUAUGCCUUAACUCUCUCCCAGACUAUUUAACAAAUAUAUUUUUCCUUCCAUUUUAAAUUUUCAAUAUAAUAUGUUCAUUUUGCUACAUAAACAUCUUUAGGAACAUCUUACAUAUGGAUAUUUUUAAGUCAUUGCAUAAGGUCAGGGCACUACACAAAAAUUCAAACAGUAAUUGCAAAUGAGUCAAAUAAUCCAGAAAAAAAACCCCACAGAAAAUUAUAUCAAAUGUGGGUGCAUGCUACUAUGGACAUAUUUUCUUUAAAAUUAGUGAAAAUUAAGAACUCUUUAUCCAGACAGAUUCAAACUAGAAAUGUGCAGUUUCUCAGCUCUUCAAGAAGAAAAGUUUCUGACCAAAACCACUGAACUUCGACUUCCUCACUCACUUGACUUCAGAUUUUCUGUGUUAAUUCUUAAUUUUAAGACACAACGAAGUUUCCAUGUCACAACUUUACCUCUUGGGUUUGGCUGAACCGCUUUUUCCGAUUAAUCCCUGGUUAUGGUGUUACGAGAAAAAACAGAACAGGCAGGUUAGGAAGCAACUCAUGCAAAUUCAGGCAAAACUAUGCACGCCUUUAUGACCACAAAUGUAUUGUGAGGAGCACAAUACAGCAUGUAACUGCUACAUGAUACAUAUUCCAGACAUUCUGCAAACACACAGGAUAUUGACACACGUAUUUCCAUACAGAGCACCAACUUUUAACUGCUGCAGUAACACACAUGAGCUACAUGCAGUUACAAACCCUGGUUUAAACCCACUGGUUUGUAACCCAUAGCACACACCUCUACAAAACUUCAGUUUCAGGGAAACAAGCAAAACAUUGAACUUAAGUAAAAUACACAUUUGGAAGCAAAAGACUCCAGAAAUCCCCUCCUCCUUCCAAACCCACCCUCCAAACUCUCAGCUUCUGAACACUUGAUUUAUCCAAAAGCAUUUCAGGUGCUCUCCCCCACUCAACACUACUGGGACGUUUGAGCAGGCAAAGUAGGAAACAUUCAGGUAGAAUUGAGGAGAGGGGAAAUCCCCUGAAAGUCAAAAAGGAGGAAAACCCCACUCUGUCCAGACAAGGAUGUGUGUUGAGGCUGAAGAUCUGUUUCACCAGCUUUUUAACUCUAUCUGUUCAGAAAAAACUGCCAAACUUUGCUCUUGUUAGUAGAACUGCGCAAGCUGAAAAGCUUGGGAGCCAUGCCAUGGAAUGCCUUCCCUUUGGUUUCAGGACCUAUGUGCCCUAACCCUCCCUAUUUUCUGGCACACAAGCACCACAUGACUGCGACAGGUCCAAUUUCACAUCCCCACAGGUACUCACAGAGCAGCAGCACCAGAGAUGAUCUCAAUAAGCUCCUUGGUGAUGACGGCUUGACGGGUGCGGUUGAACGUCAAGGUCAGUUUGUCAAUCA